UACGGAGGAUCCAAGCGUUAUCCGGAAUCAUUGGGUUUAACGGGUCCGUAGGCGGUCUUAUAAGUCAGUGGUGAAAUCUCCCCGCUCAACGGGGAAACGGCCAUUGAUACUGUAAGACUUGAAUUAUUAGGAAGUAACUAGAAUAUGUAGUGUAGCGGUGAAAUGCUUAGAGAUUACAUGGAAUACCAAUUGCGAAGGCAGGUUACUACUAAUAUAUUGACGCUGAUGGACGAAAGCGUGGGUAGCGAACAGG
rnacentral:rRNA from 1 species